AGCAGCCAUGUCAAAUUCAGUGUUGUAUCUUUCAUUGCAAUCACUGGCCCAAACGGCUGCCACACAAUACCUGCAGCACAUGGGCCUGGCACCUGUCUAGUUGCCCAGGAUAAAAAAUAACUGCUGCAGACAAUG
rnacentral:snoRNA from 1 species